GGAAAAGGAAAAGGAAAGGAAAGCUCUUCUUCAGCAUUACUCCUUUAUGAGCCCUAAACGGCUAAACCCUUCAUCACCGAAAUUGAAACCGGCCUGCACAAUUAAAAUUCAACACUCACGAAACGAAAACCUCCAUCAAUGAAAUCGAAACUACCAUCAAGGCAUCAAUACUCACGAAAAUAAAAUUCUCCAUCAACAAAUUGAGAAUCGCGAAAUUGAAACCCUCCAUCAACAAAUUGUGAAUCGCGAAAUUGAAACCCUCCAUCAAUAAAUUGAGAAUCGCGAAAUUGAUGCGAAAGAUUCAGAGACAAUCACUUAGUCACCGCACGAAGCCGUCGAAUCAGCAGUAGCGAUCCCUUCCAAAAUGGUCUUCGGAUGCGAGGAAUAAGAAUAUCGAGAAUGUUCUGAUUUGUAUGGUGAUCAGCUCUACACGAUGGACUAUAUGGAUCUUGUGCAGAGUCACAUUGACAGAAACUCCGAUAUCACAGUUUCUUGUGUUCCUGUUGGUGAGACCAAGUGGACACCCAAAUCCUUGGAUUAUCUCAAAAAGAUGCAUCAAGUAACCCUUACAUUUCAUCCAUGGGAGUUUAGGUGUUUAAGACAGAUGUUGUACUUAAACUUCUAACACAUGCAUAUUACCCAAGAUGCAAUGACUUUGGGUCUGAAAUUCUUCCUUAUGCUGUGAAGGAUCAUAGUAUUCAAGUAUAAUUCUAAAAGAUGAUCUCUUUGCUGUGAAGGAUGUAUUACUCAUUAUACAAAACGUCGGCAUCUGGAGUGACUUUUCCCUCUUUUCAGCUGAGUA